rnacentral:rRNA from 1 species
AGAGUUUGAUCCUGGCUCAGGAUGAACGCUAGCGACAGGCUUAACACAUGCAAGUCGAGGGGCAGCGGUGGUGAAGGCUUGCCUUUACCAGCCGGCGACCGGCGCACGGGUGAGUAACACGUAUGCAACCUGCCUGCCACAGCCGGAUAAUCGGGAGAAAUUCCGUCUAAUACGGCAUAAUGCAUCGACGGGACAUCCUGUUGGUGCCAAAGGUUGAUUCCGGUGGCGGAUGGGCAUGCGUCGCAUUAGUUAGUUGGCGGUGUAACGGACCACCAAGACGACGAUGCGUAGGGGUUCUGAGAGGAAGGUCCCCCACACUGGUACUGAGACACGGACCAGACUCCUACGGGAGGCAGCAGUGAGGAAUAUUGGUCAAUGGGCGGGAGCCUGAACCAGCCAAGUCGCGUGAGGGAUGACGGCCCUAUGGGUUGUAAACCUCUUUUGCCGGGGAGCAAAGUGCCGCACGUGUGCGGUUUGGAGAGUACCCGGAGAAAAAGCAUCGGCUAACUCCGUGCCAGCAGCCGCGGUAAUACGGAGGAUGCGAGCGUUAUCCGGAUUUAUUGGGUUUAAAGGGUGCGUAGGCGGACGCUUAAGUCAGCGGUAAAAUUGCGGGGCUCAACCUCGUCGAGCCGUUGAAACUGGGUGCCUUGAGUGGGCGAGAAGUACGCGGAAUGCGCGGUGUAGCGGUGAAAUGCAUAGAUAUCGCGCAGAACUCCGAUUGCGAAGGCAGCGUACCGGCGCCAGACUGACGCUGAGGCACGAAAGCGUGGGGAUCGAACAGGAUUAGAUACCCUGGUAGUCCACGCAGUAAACGAUGAAUGCUGGUUGUCCGGGUCGAAUGAGACCUGGGCGGCGAAGCGAAAGCGAUAAGCAUUCCACCUGGGGAGUACGCCGGCAACGGUGAAACUCAAAGGAAUUGACGGGGGCCCGCACAAGCGGAGGAACAUGUGGUUUAAUUCGAUGAUACGCGAGGAACCUUACCCGGGCUCAAACGGGAGUGGAAUGGACCAGAGACGGUUCAGCCUACGGGCCGCUUCCGAGGUGCUGCAUGGUUGUCGUCAGCUCGUGCCGUGAGGUGUCGGCUUAAGUGCCAUAACGAGCGCAACCCCCGCCGGCAGUUGCUAACGGGCAAUGCCGAGGACUCUGCCGGGACUGCCGCCGCAAGGCGUGAGGAAGGCGGGGAUGACGUCAAAUCAGCACGGCCCUUACGUCCGGGGCGACACACGUGUUACAAUGGGCGGUACAGCGGGAAGCCAGGCGGCGACGCCGAGCGGAACCCGAAAGCCGUUCUCAGUUCGGAUCGGAGUCUGCGACUCGACUCCGUGAAGCUGGAUUCGCUAGUAAUCGCGCAUCAGCCAUGGCGCGGUGAAUACGUUCCCGGGCCUUGCACACACCGCCCGUCA